ACUCACUGCCGACAAGAAACUACUGCACGAGAGGACUCACUGCCGACAAGAAACUACUGCACGAGAGGACUUACUGCCGACAAGAAACUACUGCACGAGAGGACUUACUGCCGACAAGAAACUACUGCACGAGAGGACUUACUGCCGACAAGAAACUACUGCACGAGAGGACUUACUGCCGACAAGAAACUACUGCACGAGAGGACUUACUGCUGACAAGAUCACAGAAACUGAGGUUUUCACUCACUGUUUGCUUUGGCAACAUAUAUAGUUGGGGACACACAGUUUCCUGAGUUCAGUGUUGUGGUGAUGUUGGAUGAUGUGCAAAUCCUUUAUUAUGACUCUGCCACAUGGAAAGCUGUCUUUCGUUCUCACAGAGAUUCAAAAUACUAUGAUGAAGAGGAAAGGGAUGCUGGUGAUGUAUUUAAAGAUAUGUAUAACAGCAUGAAAAAUCGAGCAUUUUUCUUAAUAAUCGCCUAAAUCACACAGAUGGUGCAAAUGGUAAGA